GAUGAACGCUAGCGAUAGGCUUAACACAUGCAAGUCGAGGGGCAGCAUGGUCUUAGCUUGCUAAGACUGAUGGCGACCGGCGCACGGGUGCGUAACGCGUAUGCAACUUGCCUCACAGAGGGGGAUAACCCGUCGAAAGACGGACUAAUACCGCGUACACUUGGGAUAGGGCAUCCUGACCCAAGGAAAUGAAAGUCGCUGUGAGAUAAGCAUGCGUCUCAGUAGCUAGUUGGUGAGGUAACGGCCCACCAAGGCGACGAUGGGAAGGGGAGCUGAGAGGCUGAACCACCACACUGGUACCGCGACACGGACCCGACUCCUACGCGAGGCAGCAGAGAGGAGUACUGGGCAAUGAGCGAGGGCCUGACCCAGCCACGUCGCUUGAAGAAGGACUCGCGUAUGGAUUCUAAACUUCUUUUAUACAAGAAUAACAGGAGCCACGUGUGGCUUUCUGCCGGUACCGUAUGAAUAAGCAUCGGCUAACUCCGUG
rnacentral:rRNA from 1 species